rnacentral:lncRNA from 1 species
ACGCUACGAGUAUUUGAGACCAUCAAAAUUAGUACCGGUGCAAUAAUUAGUUUCUCCAGCUCGUCAACACGGCAACACCGUUGCUAUUGUUUUAGCACGAACUUAUUUAGGGGGUCAGAGAGCUUAUAGUAAAGAUAAACACACUGCAAAUCAAUUUUACACUUAUGUUUGAAUUUUGAUGUCUGAAAGCGUCAUUUACUCACUUAACUUCGGCGACUAGAUGUCGCACGUUGUGAGAAUAGAGCGACGUUUUGAAAUAUUGCGCCAAAAUUCGUAAUCCAUCGAAUACCGCGCUGCAAAUAGCGCGCGAACGGAUUUGAUUGGCCGUUCACGCACCUGAUGAAAAAGCUCAAAGCUUGCUGUUUUGAGGUUAUGUUAUGAAAUGUCUCGCCCGUAGCGCCCUAUUUUAUUCUUAAUUCAUGUCAUGAAACCAAUAAAAUUUUCUCUUCCCUGUAAAUUCUCUCGUCUGUACAUGUUAAAUAAGUUGAGUUUACUCUCUAGUCUUGUCAAAUUCUACUGUGUGCGUGAAAUUAAAGUGUUUCUUGGAGCUGCUAUCCCUUAGAAACUUCAUGGAUUGUCACCUUAUUUAUGGGACUCGAAGCUUUCCACAAAACACAUAUACGCUGUAGAAUUGUGACAUUGCUCCCUAUGUUUUGAUGAUGGAAUUGCUUCUUAAAUCUUGGAGUGUUGAUCAGAACAUAAUUGACAAAUUUAUCGAAGCAGAUAUUGACUUGGAACUUUUGAAAGGCUUGGAAGAUAAAGAUUAUUUAUCAUUUUUUCCAACUGUAGGUAGCAAAAUCAGGUUUCGUUGCAAACUUGAAGAAUGGAAAAUAAGAGUGCGGCACAAGAAGCAGCUUCAUCCAAGGAGUCUGAUGAAUCUGUUUCCCAUGAAAACGAGGAAGUAGUUAGCAACUCGGAACCAACAAUGGCUAUCAACUCGCAGCUACAACGCCCAUCUAAUGUUGCCGGCAUGAGAUAUAAGCCACCGUCUCAUGAUGCUAUUAGGAACGACUCCAUUCUAGAAACCAUAGCCCAAAACUUGUCCGCUGAUUCGGAAAACACAAGUCUGAAAGAAAGUCUCAGUAACGUAGAUGACCUGAAACAACUUCUCAGAGAUUCUAUUCUUGGUUGUGGAAUUCUAUCCUAUUACGAGUCAAAUCAGUGCUUAACCAAAUUUUACGAGAAAGAAGUUUCUAAGAUUGUAAUUACUCACGAAUUACAGUGUGACAGUAGGAGUAAGAUCACAUCAGCCAAAUUAUUAAUAUUAAGAGAUUUGCUUGUACAAGUAUUUCCCUCAAUUGAGGCAGAGAAAUGGUAUUCUCCUUUUAAAGUGGGACCAAGUGGUGAGAGGCACUAUGCCGCAGGAAAACUCCAAGAGCAGUAUUUGUACAUAAGGAAAAUUCUUUUAGGAAGUGGUUUGACUGUCAGCUUGAAGAGGCAGAAAGGGAACCAGCCAUCACAGUAUUCUGGAGCUGGAGAAGGAUCCAGUGGUUACAAUAUGUUUGAUUUUCUAUCUUAUGAUGAUGAUUCGAGGCCUGAAAUGAGUUUUGUCGAAAACUGUUACAUCACCUGGCUUUCCUAA